GACGAACGCUGGCGGCGUGCUUAACACAUGCAACUCGAGCGAGGCCCCUACUUCGGGCGGGUGUCCUAGCGGCGAACGGGUGAGUAACACGUGGGCAACCUGCCCUCAGCCCUGGGCUAACUCCGGGAAACCGGGGCUACUACCGGAUACGACCCACACGGGCUUCUGCGGCGGUGGGACGUUUUUCGGCUCCGGAUGGGUCCGCGGCCUGUCAGUUAGAUGGGGGGGUAGUGGCCCACCCAGGCCACUACGGGUGGCCGGCCUGAUAGGGCCAACGGCCCCACUGAGACUGAGGCACGCCCCAGGCCCGUACGGGGGGCAGGGGAGGGAGAUAAGGUGCAAUGGGCUAAACCCUUACGCAGCGACGCCGCGUGAGGGAUGAAGGCCUUCAUGAUUUAAGCCUCUUUCGUCAGGGAAGAGACUAACUGGACGGUACCUGGAGGAUAAGCACCGGCCAACUUCGUG
rnacentral:rRNA from 1 species